AUAAAAAAAAAAAAAAAAAAGUGGCAUAUUGUUGCCAUGUUGAAAGAUUGAAGAAAUGUCUAAACUAAGAUUCAAGGUAGAGAUAAAAGGAUCCUAAAAGGAAGUAAAUGCCGUUUUUAAUUGUCUCAACGAUUAGAUUCUAAAAGAAAGAAACAAAAGAAAGGAGAUCAAUCAAUAAACAGAAUGCCUGAAGGUUCCCUUUGAGCUGUUUGCAGGUUAUCCUAAUGAAUUUUUGUUGGAAAAAAUAAGAGAAGGGAUUUAAAUUAUAGUUUAAUUCAGCUGAUGAUUUAAUGGAUCUAUUUGAAACUGUGAUUCUAUUCAUUUUUCACGAGGUGUAUU
rnacentral:misc_RNA from 1 species